GGUUAAGUGACUAAGCGUACACGGUGGAUGCCUAGGCAGUCAGAGGCGAUGAAGGACGUGCUAAUCUGCGAAAAGCGCCGGUGAGCUGAUAUGAAGCGUUAUCAGCCGGCGAUGUCCGAAUGGGGAAACCCGGUGCAACUCGUUGCAUCAUCGUUAAGUGAAUCCAUAGCUUAACGAAGCGAACCAGGGGAACUGAAACAUCUCAGUACCCUGAGGAAAAGAAAUCAACCGAGAUUCCCCCAGUAGCGGCGAGCGAACGGGGAACAGCCCAGAGCCAUCAUCAGCUUGCGCAUCAGGAGAACGGUCUGGAAAGUCCGGCGACAGAGGGUGAUAGCCCCGUAUCCGAAGGUGUGCUUGUUGUGAGCUCGAUGAGUAGGGCGGGACACGUGAUAUCCUGUCUGAAGAUGGGGGGACCAUCCUCCAAGGCUAAAUACUCCUGACUGACCGAUAGUGAACCAGUACCGUGAGGGAAAGGCGAAAAGAACCCCGGCGAGGGGAGUGAAAUAGAACCUGAAACCGUGUACGUACAAGCAGUGGGAGCAUCCUUCGGGGUGUGACUGCGUACCUUUUGUAUAAUGGGUCAGCGACUUAUAUUCUGUAGCAAGGUUAACCGCAUAGGGGAGCCGCAGGGAAACCGAGUCUUAACUGGGCGUCUAGUUGCAGGGUAUAGACCCGAAACCCGGUGAUCUAGCCAUGGGCAGGUUGAAGGUUGGGUAACACUAACUGGAGGACCGAACCGACUAAUGUUGAAAAAUUAGCGGAUGACUUGUGGCUGGGGGUGAAAGGCCAAUCAAACCGGGAGAUAGCUGGUUCUCCCCGAAAGCUAUUUAGGUAGCGCCUCGUGACGUCAUCUACGGGGGUAGAGCACUGUUUCGGCUAGGGGUCCAUCCCGGAUUACCAACCCGAUGCAAACUGCGAAUACCGUAGAAUGUAAUCACGGGAGACACACGGCGGGUGCUAACGUCCGUCGUGAAGAGGGAAACAACCCAGACCGCCAGCUAAGGUCCCAAAGUCAUGGUUAAGUGGGAAACGAUGUGGGAAGGCCCAGACAGCCAGGAUGUUGGCUUAGAAGCAGCCAUCAUUUAAAGAAAGCGUAAUAGCUCACUGGUCGAGUCGGCCUGCGCGGAAGAUGUAACGGGGCUAAACCAUGCACCGAAGCUGCGGCAGCGACACGUAAGUGUUGUUGGGUAGGGGAGCGUUCUGUAAGCCUGCGAAGGUGGCCUGUGAGGGCUGCUGGAGGUAUCAGAAGUGCGAAUGCUGACAUAAGUAACGAUAAAGCGGGUGAAAAGCCCGCUCGCCGGAAGACCAAGGGUUCCUGUUCAACGUUAAUCGGAGCAGGGUGAGUCGACCCCUAAGGCGAGGCCGAAAGGCGUAGUCGAUGGGAAACAGGUUAAUAUUCCUGUACUGGGUGUGACUGCGAAGGGGGACGGAGAAAGCUAGGUUCGCCGGGCGACGGUUGUCCCGGUUCAAGCGUGAAGGUGGAAUGAGCAGGCAAAUCCGCUCAUUCUCAACACUGAGGCGUGAUGACGAGCCACUACGGUGGUGAAGGAAUUGAUGCUACGCUUCCAGGAAAAGCCUCUAAGCUCCAGGUCACAUCGAAUCGUACCCCAAACCGACACAGGUGGUCAGGUAGAGAAUACCCAGGCGCUUGAGAGAACUCGGGUGAAGGAACUAGGCAAAAUGGUGCCGUAACUUCGGGAGAAGGCACGCUGGCAUGUAGGUGGAGGGCCUUGCGCCCCGAGCUGAAGCCAGUCGCAGAUACCAGCUGGCUGCAACUGUUUAUUAAAAACACAGCACUGUGCAAACACGAAAGUGGACGUAUACGGUGUGACGCCUGCCCGGUGCCGGAAGGUUAAUUGAUGGGGUUAUCGCUUGCGAGAAGCUCUUGAUCGAAGCCCCGGUAAACGGCGGCCGUAACUAUAACGGUCCUAAGGUACGAAAUUCCUUGUCGGGUAAGUUCCGACCUGCACGAAUGGCGUAAUGAUGGCCAGGCUGUCUCCACCCGAGACUCAGUGAAAUUGAACUCGCCGUGAAGAUGCGGUGUACCCGCGGCAAGACGGAAAGACCCCGUGAACCUUUACUAUAGCUUGACACUGCAUUGAGCCUUGAUGUGUAGGAUAGGUGGGAGGCUUUGAAGUGUGGACGCCAGUCUGCAUGGAGCCAACCUUGAAAUACCACCCUUUAAUGUUUGAUGUUCUCACUCAGGCCCGUUAUCCGGGCCGAGGACAGUGUCUGGUGGGUAGUUUGACUGGGGCGGUCUCCUCCCAAAGUGUAACGGAGGAGCACGAAGGUUAGCUAAUCACGGUCGGACAUCGUGAGGUUAGUGCAAAGGCAUAAGCUAGCUUGACUGCGAGAGUGACGGCUCGAGCAGGUGCGAAAGCAGGUCUUAGUGAUCCGGUGGUUCUGAAUGGAAGGGCCAUCGCUCAACGGAUAAAGUACUCCGGGGAUAACAGGCUGAUACCGCCCAAGAGUUCAUAUCGACGGCGGUGUUUGGCACCUCGAUGUCGGCUCAUCACAUCCUGGGGCUGAAGUAGGUCCCAAGGGUAUGGCUGUUCGCCAUUUAAAGUGGUACGCGAGCUGGGUUUAGAACGUCGUGAGACAGUUCGGUCCCUAUCUGCCGUGGGCGCUGGAAGAUUGAGAGGGGCUGCUCCUAGUACGAGAGGACCGGAGUGGACGCACCACUGGUGUUCGGGUUGUCAUGCCAAUGGCAUUGCCCGGUAGCUACGUGCGGAAGAGAUAACCGCUGAAAGCAUCUAAGCGGGAAACUUGCCUCGAGAUGAGUCUUCCCUGAGGCCUAGAGCCUCCUGAAGGGACGUUAAAGACGAUGACGUUGAUAGGUCGGGUGUGUAAGCGCUGCGAGGCGUUGAGCUAACCGAUACUAAUGACCCGUGAGACUUAACCUUACAACACC
rnacentral:rRNA from 1 species